GUAGGUGGCAAGCGUUGUCCCGGAAUUAUUGGGCGUAAAGCGCGCGCAGGGCGGUCCUUUAAGUCUGAUGUGAAAGCCCACGGCUCAACCGUGGAGGGUCAUUGGAAACUGGGGGACUUGAGUACAGAAGAGGAAAGCGGAAUUCCAAGUGUAGCGGUGAAAUGCGUAGAGAUUUGGAGGAACACCAGUGGCGAAGGCGGCUUUCUGGUCUGUAACUGACGCUGAGGCGCGAAAGCGUGGGGAGCAAACAGGAUUAGAUACCCUGGUAGUCCACGCCGUAAACGAUGAGUGCUAAGUGUUAGGGGGUUUCCGCCCCUUAGUGCUGCAGCUAACGCAUUAAGCACUCCGCCUGGGGAGUACGGCCGCAAGGCUG
rnacentral:rRNA from 1 species